rnacentral:tRNA from 1 species
GGGGCCAUAGCUCAACUGGCAGAGCACCUGAGCGUGGAAUCACGCUCUGGAAUCUUGUCAAAGAUUCUUGCAGCAACCUUCUCCAAAAGGACUGUCACUCCUUAAUAUUCCGGUUCGAAUCCGGAUGGCUCCA